CCUACGGGGGGCUGCAGUGGGGAAUAUUGGACAAUGGGCGCAAGCCUGAUCCAGCCAUGCCGCGUGGGUGAAGAAGGCCUUCGGGUUGUAAAGCCCUUUUGUUGGGAAAGCGGUACCCAAAGAAUAAGCACCGGCUAACUUCGUGCCAGCAGCCGCGGUAAUACGAAGGGUGCAAGCGUUACUCGGAAUUACUGGGCGUAAAGCGUGCGUAGGUGGUUUGUUAAGUCUGAUGUGAAAGCCCUGGGCUCAACCUGGGAAUUGCAUUGGAUACUGGCAGGCUAGAGUGCGGUAGAGGAUGGCGGAAUUCCCGGUGUAGCAGUGAAAUGCGUAGAGAUCGGGAGGAACAUCCGUGGCGAAGGCGGCCAUCUGGACCAGACUGACACUGAGGCACGAAAGCGUGGGGAGCAAACAGGAUUAGAUACCCUUGUAGUC
rnacentral:rRNA from 1 species